GGCAGGAAGCAGCGUGAAGGGGCUCCCACCGCCCAAAUCCAGAGCAACUUCUGCAACAGAAUAAAGAUGGCGAAUGGCUGUUCGGCCCGGUGGAGAAUCACAGGUUCACGUCAUGUUCCCUGUGAACUGUGAGGGUGCCCCUCCGCUGUCUGGACCCAACACUGCUGACGUCUGAUGGCAGGCUUAGCCCUUUCUUUCUUUUUUUUUUUUUUGAGGUAACAUUUUUUUCCCCACUGGGAGCUUUUCUUUGAUCCCUUUCAACUCUGUGUGCUAAAGUGUCCUUUCCCGCCCAGGGCUGUUCCCCUGUAUUCUCUCCUGAAGCCUCCUUUCCUCUGCCUCUGUCCUUUGCAAUUCCUUUUCACAACUGAAUGCAAAAAA